UCUUUUCCUGUAAAGUGUAAACUUACCGCACCCUCCAAUCCGUCUAGAACUAUUACCGUCCACUCCAUCCUUCUCUUGUUUCUGCCCUCGCCGUCGCCGUCCAGCCAGCACUCGCUACCGAUCUCAUCUCAUCUCCCGGUGUCGUUCUUAGGCUCGCUCUCCCCAUCUCCUAUUCUCUCUUCUCUCUUCGGGUCGUCGUCAGCACCGUGGGACUCCAUCUUCCUCUUCAUCUUCCACUUCUAGAGUUCCAAUGGAACCUCAGUCUCAGGAAGUAUCAAAUAAUCAAAGACACACAAGUGAUCAAAAUGCGCCUAAUGUUAGUGAUCAUGUGGAUGAAGACACAACUUCUGAUGCGGUGGAUAUGGAUCAAUAUCGCAUAAACUCUUGAAAAGAUAUUGGGAAGAUAUGUGAUGGAUAUGGAUCAAUAUCACCUAAUGCAGUGUAGAACUAUUGAAUAGUUGUAAAAUUUUUGCAGUUAAUAUUAUAUACAACUCUUACAACAUUUUCUGAGAGGUUCUGGGUUGUGUGUAUCUACUAAAUAAUAUCAAGGAUGUUUACUUGCUUAAA